rnacentral:rRNA from 1 species
CAGCAGCAGCCGCGGGAAUACGGAGGGUGCAAGCGUUAUCCGGAUUCACUGGGUUUAAAGGGUGCGUAGGCGGAUCUGUAAGUCAGUGGUGAAAUCUCCAGGCUUAACCUGGAAACUGCCGUUGAUACUAUAGGUCUUGAAUUUUGUGGAGGUUAGCGGAAUAUGUCAUGUAGCGGUGAAAUGCAUAGAUAUGACAUAGAACACCAAUUGCGAAGGCAGCUGGCUACACAACUAUUGACGCUGAGGCACGAAAGCGUGGGGAUCAAACAGGAUUAGAUACCCCCGUAGUCCCUGUCUCUUAUAC